GAAUUGCAGAACUCCGUGAACCAAUGGCCUCUUGAACGUGCAUUGCGCUCUUGGGAUAUGCCUGAGAGCAUGUCUGCUUCAGUGCUUCUACUUUUCCUAUUCCUGCUGCUCCUUUCAAGGGGUGGUGCUGUUGUGUGCUACUGCAUACUUUGCAUUGGCAUGCUCAGUAUUAAGCAUUGCCCACUGGGUUGACUGAUCAACGUUUCAUGUCUUUUUCAGUCGGGCAACUCAACACCUGGUGUCUUGAACACUUCCUAGCAUGAAGUCAGACAAGUGAACCCGCUGAACUUAAGCAUAUGGAUCCC
rnacentral:rRNA from 1 species